rnacentral:rRNA from 1 species
UAGGGAAUCUUCCACAAUGGACGAAAGUCUGAUGGAGCAACGCCGCGUGCAGGAUGACGGCCUUCGGGUUGUAAACUGCUUUUAUGGAUGAAGAUAAUGACAGUAGUCCAAGAAUAAGGGACGGCUAACUACGUGCCAGCAGCCGCGGUCAUACGUAGGUCCCAAGCGUUAUCCGGAAUUACUGGGCGUAAAGAGUUGCGUAGGUGGUUUAUUAAGCAGAGUAUGAAAUGUCACGGCUCAACCGUGAACCCGUAUUCUGAACUGGUGAACUAGAGGGCGAGAGAGGUUUCUAGAAUUUCUUGUGUAGGAGUGAAAUCCGUAGAUAUAAGAAGGAAUACCGAUGGCGUAGGCAGGAAACUGGCUCGCACCUGACACUAAGGCACGAAAGCGUGGGUAGCAAACGGGAUUAGAUACCCCCGUAGUCC